ACCAGCUCCUGAGGUGGCAAAUCCUCCUCCGGCAGAAGCACCACCACCGGCUGAGGCAGCUCCGCCAGCUGAAGCUGCCUCGCCAGCAGAGCCACCGAGAGAAUCACCACCGCCUCAACAGCCAGCACCGGAGCCAGCAACGCCAACACCUGUAGCUGCUGAGACUAACCCCGGGCAACAAAUACACCACCAGAGACCAAGAGACGUUGGAGAAGUUCAUACAAUUUACCACCAGAGUCACCACCCACCGGGACAAUCACCACCGCCUCAACAGCCAGCACCAGAGUCAGCAGCGCCAACACCUGUAGCUGCUGAGACUAACCCUGGGCAACAAAUACACCACCAGAGACGAAGAGACGUUGGAGAAGUUCAUACCAUAUACCACCACGGUAACCCUCCACCUGAUUAUGGCUAUAGAUAUGGCUACUCUCAAGGCUACAAUGGCUACUGGAACGGAUACCAUAACAGCCAAGGACCUCCACCGGAGCCUGCCCCUAUCCCCACCCCAAUGGGCCCUUCCCCGAUGACCCCCGCCACAAUGGGCCCUCCUCCGAUGAGCCCCACCACAAUGAGUCACACCCCACCUCCAC
rnacentral:lncRNA from 1 species